rnacentral:rRNA from 1 species
GAUGAACGCUGGCGGCGUGCUUAACACAUGCAAGUCGAACGAAGCAUUUAAAACAGAUUAUUUCGGUAUGAAGUUUUUUAUGACUGAGUGGCGGACGGGUGAGUAACGCGUGGGUAACCUGCCUUGUACUGGGGGAUAGCAGCUGGAAACGGCUGGUAAUACCGCAUAAGCGCACGGUGCUGCAUGGCACAGUGUGAAAAACUCCGGUGGUAUAAGAUGGACCCGCGUCUGAUUAGCUAGUUGGUGAGAUAACAGCCCACCAAGGCGACGAUCAGGAGCCGACCUGAGAGGGUGACGGGCCACAUUGGGAAUGAGACACGGCCCAGACUCCUACGGGAGGCAGCAGUGGGGAAUAUUGCACAAUGGAGGAAACUCUGAUGCAGCGACGCCGCGUGAGUGAAGAAGUAAUUCGUUAUGUAAAGCUCUAUCAGCAGGGAAGAUAGUGACGGUACCUGACUAAGAAGCUCCGGCUAAAUACGUGCCAGCCGCCGCGGUAA